CCUACGGGUGGCAGCAGUGAGGAAUAUUGGUCAAUGGGCGAGAGCCUGAACCAGCCAAGUCGCGUGAGGGAGUACUGCCCUAUGGGUUGUAAACCUCUUUUGUCGGGGAGCAAAAGCCGGACGUGUCCGGCUGUGAGAGUACCCGAAGAAAAAGCAUCGGCUAACUCCGUGUCAGCAGCCGCGGUAAUACGGAGGAUGCGAGCGUUAUCCGGAUUUAUUGGGUUUAAAGGGUGCGCAGGCGGAUUUUUAAGUCAGCGGUAAAAUCGUGGGGCUCAACCCCAUCCAGCCGUUGAAACUGGGGAUCUAGAGUGUGCGAGAGGUAUGCGGAAUGCGUGGUGUAGCGGUGAAAUGCAUAGAUAUCACGCAGAACCCCGAUUGCGAAGGCAGCAUACCGGUGCACAACUGACGCUCAGGCACGAAAGCGUGGGUAUCGAACAGGAUUAGAUACCCGUGUAGUC
rnacentral:rRNA from 1 species